CUUGUACUCCCUCCGUCCGGAAAUACUUGUCAUUAAAAUGGAUAAAAGGGGAUGUAUCUAGAUGUAUUUUAGUUCUAGAUACAUCUCUUUUCAUCCAUUUUGGUGACAAGUAUUUUCGGACGGAGGAAGUACAUG
rnacentral:pre_miRNA from 1 species